CAAGGCUUGACAUAUACUGGAUCGCAUCAGAGAUGGUGUUUCCCUUCGGGGCUGGUAUACAGGUGGUGCAUGGUUGUCGUCAGCUCGUGUCGUGAGAUGUUGGGUUAAGUCCCGCAACGAGCGCAACCCUCGUUCUAUGUUGCCAGCACGUUAUGGUGGGGACUCAUAGGAGACUGCCGGGGUCAACUCGGAGGAAGGUGGGGAUGACGUCAAAUCAUCAUGCCCCUUAUGUCUUGGGCUUCACGCAUGCUACAAUGGCCGGUACAGAGGGUUGCGAUACUGUGAGGUGGAGCUAAUCCCUAAAAGCCGGUCUCAGUUCGGAUUGGGGUCUGCAACUCGACCCCAUGAAGUCGGAGUCGCUAGUAAUCGCAGAUCAGCAACGCUGCGGUGAAUACGUUCCC
rnacentral:rRNA from 1 species